GUUGAUUUAGUUUAUUAUUUAAAAUGUUGUUUUGUGGAAGCAAAGAAAAUAGGGAUUAAUCAAUU
rnacentral:tRNA from 1 species